rnacentral:rRNA from 1 species
UACGUAGGGUCCGAGCGUUGUCCGGAAUUACUGGGCGUAAAGAGCUCGUAGGUGGUUUGUCACGUUGUUCGUGAAAACCCACAGCUCAACUGUGGGCGUGCGAGCGAUACGGGCAGACUAGAGUACUGCAGGGGAGACUGGAAUUCCUGGUGUAGCGGUGGAAUGCGCAGAUAUCAGGAAGAACACCCGUGGCGAAGGCGGCUCUCUGGGACGGUACUGACGCUGAGACGCGAAAGCGUGGGGAGCGAACAGG